rnacentral:rRNA from 1 species
AUGGGCCGCAGUGCAAUUGCAAAAUCGACUGGUCUUCUCCGGGAAGUUAAGAACAGGCAAAGCUCUAACCUUACGAGCCGGGUGCAGCCAACAAAAGCAAGGUCGGCAGAGACAGCACUGUGGGUGCCACACCCAAGGACAGGGAUCUACUACCCCAGGGGCUUUGAGUGGGUCAUGGAGGAUGUCCCAAGCAGCGCAGCAACGUUCCAGCAGACAUACUGGCUCAGGAGCGGCGACGCAGAGACAGCAAGCUCCCCACGUCAACCGACGGCACAGCUGCCUUUGAUAACCCAUUUCUGUGAAUGCAUAAGAGGCCUCACACUGGAAGAAUCACUGAUAGCAGCAGUUCUACAAGCCACCACCAUUGUUGCCAGGUCGAUACAUAAUAUGAUAAACCAGCUGCUCAGAUUUCCAGCAUGUAGGCACCGCAUCCACCGAAAGAUCAGUGUUAAACUCUGCAUUAAUCUUCUCUAUUGCAUUCUCAUUUUCACUGAUUUUACUUAA